GGCGGCAGGCUUAACACAUGCAAGUCGAGCGGGGAAGUGUAGCUUGCUACAUAACCUAGCGGCAGACGGGUGAGUAAUGCUUAGGAAUCUGCCUAUUAGUGGGGGACAACAUCUCCAAAGGGAUGCUAAUACCGCAUACGUCCUACGGGAGAAAGCAGGGACCUUCGGGCCUUGCGCUAAUAGAUGAGCCUAAGUCGGAUUAGCUAGUUGGUGAGGUAAAGGCCUACCAAGGCGACGAUCUGUAGCGCGUCUGAGAGGAUGAUCCGCCACACUGGGACUGAGACACGGCCCAGA
rnacentral:rRNA from 1 species